UACGUAGGGUGCAAGCGUUAAUCGGAAUUACUGGGCGUAAAGCGUGCGCAGGCGGUGAUGUAAGACAGAUGUGAAAUCCCCGGGCUCAACCUGGGAACUGCAUUUGUGACUGCAUCGCUGGAGUGCGGCAGAGGGGGGUGGAAUUCCACGUGUAGCAGUGAAAUGCGUAGAGAUGUGGAGGAACACCGAUGGCGAAGGCAGCCCCCUGGGCUGAGAUUGACGCUCAGGCACGAAAGCGUGGGGAGCAAACAGG
rnacentral:rRNA from 1 species